ensembl:lncRNA
AAUUAGUUCAAGGACAAAACAAAAUUGCUACUAAUGCUUAAAUCGGAGCGGAUGCUCCGCGCGGUGCUAUCUCCCGGUACGCGCUCGGCUCAUUGUCUCCCCAUAUCUUGAGCUGCGCCUGAUUAAUUUUACUUUUCUCUCCAAUUUCUCUGCCCACAAUGCGCGGGGAACAAAGGCUCCUGCCUGAACAGGGGCAGUAAUUCAUCGGCGCCCUCAGAGCCGACGCACAGCUGCCCCUUCCCAGCGCGGCUGCCAGGCACCGGCACUGCGAGCCCUCCGUUCCCAUGGUCUCCAGGGAGAUGGCGACGGACCUGCAUCCUAAUGACAGCGCCUGCCGCCCCGUUGGGCCCCUGUAGCCCCUUCCAGGCUGGGGCUGAGCCCCUGGCACUGGGAGGAUGGAUCCCGUCUGCCCUCAGGGCUGUGUGGUUGUUCGCGUGCUGUGAGCAUGGCAGGGGGCAGGCGGGGCACCGCUGAGCCGUAUGGCUGCUGGGGUGCUGCCUGGACUCCAUACCACAGCACAGCCUACGCUCCAAACACUCACCCCAAAUGCUUACGGAUGGGGAAGAAAAAGCAUUAAUCCCAGCAUCAAGGCAAUGAGCUGCGGGGGUCCCACCAGCCUGGAGCACUGGGAGAAUCGCAAUGGCUGCAGGGAUGCAGCGAUGGGAGCACAGCGGCGAGUUGGUGGGAGGAAGAGACACCGAGCAACAGCCCCUGGUGCGUGGCUCUGCAUGAGCAGCAGCACCCCGCAGCCUGCAGCACCCCACAACCUGCAGCAACACAUACCCUACAGCACCCCGCAACCUGCAGCACCUCGCCACACUCCCGCACCCAGCAGCCCCGUGCCAAUGCUGCAGGCAUCGAAGCGCCUGCACGCACCCUGCAUGCUAAUGAGCGGCGGCGGGAGAGCUGCGCCAAUUAAUUGCUGGCAGCAGCAGUGCACUCACCAAAUGGGGAGCCGUGGUGCCAAAGCAGAGGGCAGAGUCUCGCAGCGCGGCGGUGACACGGAGCUCCGCGUGCCGCAGCUCACGCAGCAUUUGGGGUCACACGCCGCCACGUGGCGGGGUCAGGCCGCACGUGAGGAGCCAGCCUGCCCCAAAGUGCCACCACCACCCAUCUCGCACCGACCCUCCGAAACUUGGUUGUAAAGAUCUGAUUUAUAGCGAGCUAACGAAAUAAUGAAUUUUUUGAAGCAGGCUCCUAACCUUUACAACCAGCUCAUUUCGGGGUGGGAGGGGGGGGGGGAGCGAAAUGCCAAGAUUUCGAUGAAUAUUUAAUAAACUCUCAUGAGCUCGGCGACUUGGAGCCGCGCCAGCGCCAUUUGAAUGCUGC